rnacentral:rRNA from 1 species
UACGUAGGUGGCGAGCGUUGUCCGGAUUUACUGGGCGUAAAGGGUGCGUAGGCGGAUGUUUAAGUGGGAUGUGAAAUCCCCGGGCUUAACCUGGGGGCUGCAUUCCAAACUGGAUAUCUAGAGUGCAGGAGAGGAAAGCGGAAUUCCUAGUGUAGCGGUGAAAUGCGUAGAGAUUAGGAAGAACACCAGUGGCGAAGGCGGCUUUCUGGACUGUAACUGACGCUGAGGCACGAAAGCGUGGGUAGCAAACAGGAUUAGAAACCCCAGUAGUCC